GAUGAACGCUGGCGGCAUGCUUCAUACAUGCAAGUCGAACGGAGGUAGUAAUAUCUCAGUGGCGACCGGGUGAGUAACACGUAGGUAAUCUACCUCGCAGUGGGGAAUAACUAUUCGAAAGAAUAGCUAAUACCGCAUACAGUCCGCCAAACCAGUGUUUGGUUGACCAAAGGUCUUCGGAUCGCUGCGAGAGGAGCCUGCGGCCCAUCAGCUAGUUGGAGAGGUAACGGCUCACCAAGGCGACGACGGGUAGGGGACCUGAGAGGGUGA
rnacentral:rRNA from 1 species